AUUAAUUUAGUUUAUCUUAAAACAGUAACUUGUGGUGUUACACAAUCUUCUAUAAAUA
rnacentral:tRNA from 1 species